ensembl:lncRNA
GCAUUCUCAGAUGUAGUGAGGAUGAUUAUCAAAAUCAACUACUCUGUGUGUUACCCAACACAAAUCACAGACAAACAACAACAACAAAACACACUCCAAAACUACAGGUUUUUUUUUUGUGUUCAGUUUUGUUUCAAAAUAAAAAAUAAUCACACAUCAUUGUUUAGAGAGACAAUCUACAACAGGAGAUACAAAAAAAAUAGUUGCCCAGGCAACAAGCACACACACAGGUUUCUGUUAGAACUAUACACAUUAUGGUUACAGAAGAUGCUCCUAUUCAGAUACACAAGGCUCGCCACUUCAAAAUGUACACAUGCCGCUGCCCACCGCAGUAGUCCUGGUUACGGACGGCGAGACAGGCGACGCCCGGCCUUUACCGGGGGACAUUAUGAUACAUCACUUUUACAGGACUAUUAUUAAAGGUACAAACAAAAAAAGCAGACCACGCUGCUGCCGUCUUUUGUACAACCCACGGUUUCACUGUACCCUGAGGAGAGCAGAGGGGUUCGAGGUAGACUCAGCCAUAUGACAUGGUAACACAGCGGGAGCUACUUCCUGCUUCCAGACAUCAGUAACAACACAAGUCAUAUAUUAUAUCCCGAGACCACCACUGACCGCUCUUCCCAAUGUGGGCGUCACGCCUCAAGAGAAGAACCAAUAGUGGUAGUCUUGGCAGAUCGUUGUUGAUGUCUACAAGCCGGGAAGUCGCCCCGGUGUGUUACCAUGUCAUAUCACUGAGUCAACCUUUAAACUCAUCGCCCCCCACCCCAUCCAUUACCCUUAGACAAGGGGAAAGCAUUCCUAUAAAAUAUCUAAAAAUACAAAAACACAAGCAGACUGCUAACAGUGUGUCCUGUGGUGGCGGUUACAACCCCCAAACUACACUGUAAACAUCUCGCGUGUGUUCUGUAGCGUGUGUUCUGUAGCGUGUGUUCUGUAGCGUGUGUUCUGUAACGUGUGUUCUGUAGCGUGUGUUCUGUAGCGUGUGUUCUGUAGCGUGUGUUCUGUAAGGUGUGUUCUGUAACGUGUGUUCUGUAACGUGUGUUCUGUAACGUGUGUUCUGUAGCGUGUGUUCUGUAGCGUGUGUUCUGUAACGUGUGUUCUGUAGCGUGUGUUCUGUAACGUGUGUUCUGUAACGUGUGUUCUGUAGCGUGUGUUCUGUAGCGUGUGUUCUGUAGCGUGUGUUCUGUAGCGUGUGUUCUGUAGCGUGUGUUCUGUAGCGUGUGUUCUGUAGCGUGUGUUCUGUAGCGUGUGUUCUGUAAGGUGUGUUCUGUAGCGUGUGUUCUGUAAGGUGUGUUCUGUAGCGUGUGUUCUGUAGCGUGUGUUCUGUAAGGUGUGUUCUGUAAGGUGUGUUCUGUAGCGUGUGUUCUGUAAGGUGUGUUCUGUAGCGUGUGUUCUGUAAGGUGUGUUCUGUAAGGUGUGUUCUGUAGCGUGUGUUCUGUAGCGUGUGUUCUGUAACGUGUGUUCUGUAAGGUGUGUUCUGUAAGGUGUGUUCUGUAGCGUGUGUUCUGUAAGGUGUGUUCUGUAGCGUGUGUUCUGUAGCGUGUGUUCUGUAAGGUGUGUUCUGUAGCGUGUGUUCUGUAGCGUGUGUUCUGUAGCGUGUGUUCUGUAGCGUGUGUUCUGUAACGUGUGUUCUGUAGCGUGUGUUCUGUAGCGUGUGUUCUGUAGCGUGUGUUCUGUAGCGUGUGUUCUGUAGCGUGUGUUCUGUAGCGUGUGUUCUGUAGCGUGUGUUCUGUAGCGUGUGUGCUGUAAUGUUUUGACUGCUACAGAACAGGCGGAAACCCAGAGUCACUGUCAGCUGUUGACGCUUCAGUCAGAUGCCAUGUCUCACUCUCUGUAAUUUAUAUAGACUUGUGUAAAAAAUAAAAGAGUCUCUUCACUACUGACAUGUUGGUGUACCACGUCUCGUUGACUUCAGUGGUAACUGUGGCGUAAUGGACGUUUAGUAAACGGACAGGGAGCGUUUGCAGUGUAGUUCGGUGGAUGGGGUUGAGGUGGUGAGUUCUGUUGUUGAGGUGGUGAGUUCUGUUGUUGAGGUGGUGAGUUCUGUUGUUGAGGUGGUGAGUUCUGUUGUUGAGGUGGUGAGUUCUGUUGUUAAGGUGGUGAGUUCUGUUGAGGUGGGGGGUGCUUUGUACAAGUACUACGCAGUAUAGAAAGGAAUUUUCAAAACCAAAAUUUGAUAUUACAAUUUACAAUAUACAACAACUCAUAUGUCACAAACAAGGAGGUGGGAAUAUGCAUCGAAAUGCACAGAGUUAAGAGUUUUUUUUAAACGUUUUGUUUUUUUAUAUAUAGAUAUACAUAUAUAUAUACAUAUAUAUAUAUAUCGUCUGAUACCAAAAAGGGUGGUAAAUCACGUUUACAUUACAAGGGUUUACAAAUGUACAAUUACACAGUCAGAAAUGUGUUCACUACUAGGAGACAUUAUAGAUAGUCAACAUCAAAAAACAGAAAAACUAAAGUUUUUUAUAUUUAUAUAUAUGCAAAGUUCUACACCAAGUAUACACGCGCUCUAUAUAUAUAUAUAGAUAGAAGCAGGACUGGAAACGAACCUCCCAUGUUAAAUGACUUGCUGGUAAGCACAUGGCUUGUGUGUUUGUAUAUGGGACGAUGAUUUGGUGACGUACUCAGUCAAAUUAAAUUACGUUCCAUCCCAUACUAGCGGUACGACACAGAACUGUGAUUGCCACAGCAGUAGCAAAACAGUGAAAUGAUUCUAGUUUAUACAAAAGACGAAUGAAGAAAAACAAAAACAGUGAGAAGGAACGAAGGGCAGGGACGUAUCUCACCUCCUCCCUGCAGCAGGGUAGGGACGUAUCUCACCUCCUCCCUGCAGCAGGGUAGGGACGUAUCUCACCUCCUCCCUGCAGCAGGGUAGGGACGUAUCUCACCUCCCCCUGCAGCAGGGUAGGGACGUAUCUCACCUCCCCCUGCAGCAGGGUAGGGACGUAUCUCACCUCCCCCUGCAGCAGGGUAGGGACGUAUCUCACCUCCCCCUGCAGCAGUGUAGGGACGUAUCUCACCU